rnacentral:rRNA from 1 species
UACGUAGGGCGCAAGCGUUGUCCGGAAUUAUUGGGCGUAAAGAGCUCGUAGGCGGCUUGUCACGUCGGGUGUGAAAGCCCGGGGCUUAACCCCGGGUCUGCAUUCGAUACGGGCAGGCUAGAGUGUGGUAGGGGAGAUCGGAAUUCCUGGUGUAGCGGUGAAAUGCGCAGAUAUCAGGAGGAACACCGGUGGCGAAGGCGGAUCUCUGGGCCAUUACUGACGCUGAGGCGCGAAAGCUAGGGGAGCGAACGGG